GGUCUUUGCCUACGUCUCCCAAAGCCAGUUCAACGAAGCUCUGGAGUGCCAUGCCUUCCUGUGCCAAAAAAAGAAAAUAGCUCAGGCUGUGACUCUGACAGUUGCACAAGCUUUUAAAGUAGCUCUGGAUCUGUGGGAGAUCGCACAGGAAGACAAAAGUAAGAAAGCUCGCACAUGCUACUCCUGUUCAGACCCUGAAUCUCAGCCUGAAUCUGAACCAAACAGUG